rnacentral:rRNA from 1 species
GACGAACGCUGGCGGCGUGCUUAACACAUGCAAGUCGAACGGAAAGGCCCUGCUUUUGUGGGGUGCUCGAGUGGCGAACGGGUGAGUAACACGUGAGUAACCUGCCCUUGACUUCGGGAUAACUUCAGGAAACUGGGGCUAAUACCGGAUAGGAGCUCCUGCUGCAUGGUGGGGGUUGGAAAGUUUCGGCGGUUGGGGAUGGAUUCGCGGCUCAUCAGCUUGUUGGUGGGGUAGUGGCUUACCAAGGCUUUGACGGGUAGCCGGCCUGGGGGGGUGACCGGCCACAUUGGGACGGAGAUACGGCCCAGACCCCGACGGGAGGCAGCAGGGGGGAAUAUUGCAAAAGGGGCGGAAGCCGGAGGCAGCAACGCCGCGUGCGGGAUGACGGCCUUCGGUUGGUAAACCGCUUUCGCCGGUGACGAAGCGUGAGUGACGGUAAUGGGUAAAGAAGCACCGGCUAACUACGUG